rnacentral:rRNA from 1 species
AGUCAUACGCUCGUCUCAAAGAUUAAGCCAUGCAUGUGUAAGUAUAAAUAGUUAACUUUGAAACUGCGAAUGGCUCAUUAUAUCAGUUAUAGUUUAUUUGAUGAAGAAUACUAAUUGGAUAACCGUAGUAAUUCUAGAGCUAAUACAUGUAUAAAGUCUUGUAGACUGCAUUUAUUAGAAUGAAAACCAUAGGUUUCGGCCUAUUCGUGAGUAAUAAUAACUAAUCAUAUCGUAUGCUUACGUAACGAUGUGUCUUUCAAGUUUCUGCCCUAUCAGCUUUCGAUGGUAGUGUAUUGGACUACCAUGGCAGUAGCGGGUAACGAAGAAUUUGGGUUCGAUUUCGGAGAGGGAGCCUGAGAGAUGGCUACCAUAUCCAAGGAAGGCAGCAGGCGCGUAAAUUACCCAAUCCUGACACAGGGAGGUAGUGACAAUAAAUCACAAUGCGGAACAAUGUUUUGCAAUUGGAUUGAGAACAACGUACAAACCUUAUCGAUAAACAAUUGGAGGGCAAGUCUGGUGCCAGCAGCCGCGGUAAUUCCAGCUCCAAUAGCGUAUAUUAA